rnacentral:lncRNA from 1 species
UUGCAGGUCUCUUCCAACCCGGGGAUUCUGUGAAUUUUGGGAAUCUGGGGGAAUUUUGGGAAUCCCCAGGGACUGGGGUGGUGGUGGAGCCACCAUCCCUGGUGUGUUUAAAACAAGCCUGGAUGUGGCACUGGGUGGUUGAGUUGAGGUGUUGGGACUCAAUGAUCUUGCAGGUCUCUUCCAACCCGGGGAUUCUGUGAAUUUUGGGAAUCUGGGGGAAUUUUGGGAAUCCCCAGGGACCGGGGUGGUGGUGGAGCCACCAUCCCUGGUGUGUUUAACAAAGCCUGGAUGUGCCAGGGUUUAGUUGAGGUGUUGGGGCUGGGCUGGACUCAGUUUUGCAGGUCUCUUCCAACCCAGCCAUUCGGUGAGGAUGAAUUCCAGCCCAUUUCCUGCUAGCAUGAGAAAAAUGUGGAAUAACUGCAGCCCUGGGAGGUGCUGGGCUCCUGGACCCUCACCCCACCUUUCCAGCUCCCCCUCCCAGCCCCAGGGCAGCACUCCCCGCAGCCCCUGCGUUAUUCAGCAGAUGGAAAGCAGAUUAUUCCCGACCUUUGGUGGUGCCAGGACAGGGCAGAGCUCCUGGCUCCCCGAGCCCAAGGCUGCUGCCAUUUCCUGACGAGGCAGAGGAGCAGAUGGCUCUGCCUGGAGAGCUCCUUCCCUGCGAGGUUUUAUUUAUUUCUCUUCUUCCUGCCUGCACUUCAGAUGUUUGAAUGGGCACGAGGCAAAUGCUUUUUAUUCCUCUGCUGUUCCAAGGAGUGAUCCUGCAAUCCUGCAGCUUUUUUUUUGAGCAGAGAGGGCUUUAAUUAAACUCUUCAGGGGGAAUUUGCUUGAUUGUAUCACAAUGGCAGAAGUGAAGAGGAAGAUGUGCUGAGGAUAAUGAGUGCUGAGACAGUGGAAAUGGGAGGAACAAAACUCUUCCUGACCCUCCUUUUCCCUGGAAUGUCCCAAAUAUCCCCCUGGCAGCAGGAGCUGGGCUGGGCUGGGUUGAGGAUCUGCACAGAGGUGAGGAAUCCAUGGGAAAAGCUCAGAGGUGAGGAAUCCAUGGGAAAAGCCUGCUCUGAUGGAAUCCCAGAACCCCAGAUGGUUUGGGUGGGAAGGGACCUGAAAGUUCAUCCCAUGGCAGGGACACCUCCCACUGUCCCAGCUGCUCCAGCCCCAGUGUCCAGCCUGGCCCUGGGCACUGCCAGGGAUCCAGGGGCAGCCCCAGCUGCUCUGGGAAUUCCAUCCCAGCCCCUCCCCACCCUCACAACCAACAUUCCCUCCCAAUAUCCCAUCCCAUCCUAUGGAUGGGGAAAAGGGCUCUGGAGUGGAGAAGCAAGACUUGAACCCAGCCCUGGUGCCAAUGCAGCUCCUUCCUCAUUCCCAAAAUUUCUCCUGCUUAAAACCCCCGUAAUCUAAAAUCAGCACUCUUUGGUUUGAGCUACAUGGGAAUUUUCCAGUUAAAAUGAAAAAAAAACCAAACCAAAACAAAACAAAAAAAGUAAAUCAAGUAAAUGAUGUUAAAAGAGGAAUUUUCUCUCCCCAAAAUCACUGGGAAGCCACUGCAGAACUUUAAUUUCUCUAGCAGGAGCAUGGGUUCAUAUUAAAAUGAUGCUGCUCCACUACAAAAUAUGACCAGAAGACUGUCUAUUGAUAUCAGUAUAAAUAAAAGGACACAGGGAAGGGCA